UGGGGAAUAUUGCACAAUGGGCGAAAGCCUGAUGCAGCAACGCCGCGUGAGUGAUGAAGGUCUUCGGAUUGUAAAGCUCUGUCUUUUGGGACGAUAAUGACGGUACCAAAGGAGGAAGCCACGGCUAACUACGUGCCAGCAGCCGCGGUAAUACGUAGGUGGCGAGCGUUGUCCGGAUUUACUGGGCGUAAAGGGUGCGUAGGCGGAUGUUUAAGUGAGAUGUGAAAUACCCGGGCUUAACUUGGGUGCUGCAUUUCAAACUGGAUAUCUAGAGUGCAGGAGAGGAGAAUGGAAUUCCUAGUGUAGCGGUGAAAUGCGUAGAGAUUAGGAAGAACACCAGUGGCGAAGGCGAUUCUCUGGACUGUAACUGACGCUGAGGCACGAAAGCGUGGGUAGCAAACAGGAUUAGAUACCCUGGUAGUCCACGCCGUAAACGAUGAGUACUAGGUGUAGGAGGUAUCGACCCCUUCUGUGCCGCAGUAAACACAUUAAGUACUCCGCCUGGGAAGUACCGAUCGCAAGAUUAAAAC
rnacentral:rRNA from 1 species